rnacentral:rRNA from 1 species
UUUAAUUCGAUGAUACGCGAGGAACCUUACCUGGGCUAGAAUGCUAGUUGACCGAGGGUGAAAGCUCUCUUUGUAGCAAUACACAACUAGUAAGGUGCUGUAUGGCUGUCGUCAGCUCGUGCCGUGAGGUGUUGGGUUAAGUCCCGCAACGAGCGCAACCCCCAUCACUAGUUGCCAUCAGGUAACGCUGGGAACUCUAGUGAAACUGCCGUCGUAAGACGCGAGGAAGGAGGGGAUGAUGUCAAGUCAUCAUGGCCUUUAUGCCCAGGGCUACACACGUGCUACAAUGGGGCGUACAAAGGGCUGCCACUUAGCGAUAAGGAGCCAAUCCCAAAAAACGCCUCUCAGUUCAGAUCGCAGUCUGCAACUCGACUGCGUGAAGCUGGAAUCGCUAGUAAUCGUAUAUCAGCAAUGAUA